rnacentral:sRNA from 1 species
GUAUAUAAAGAGAUCCUGUUGCUGCAUGCAGACAUAAAAUUGAGUCUGUGGCAUUUGCUGUAUUUUUCAUCUACAUCCCAAAUCAGACAUCUUAAGGCACUAAUAAUUUGCAAAGUUAAACCUCCUCCACAAAUUUCACCCAGCAAAUCGAUGGGCGGAGAAUUUUGUGUGGCUGCUACCUUCGGAACAUCCAGGUCAUGGUUUGCAAAUAAUGCAGGUCUGAAAAGAGAAAAAGAUCAGUCCAAACAAGUUGUAGUUGAGUCCCUGUACAUUAUCAGUUGCUAUGGCACCUUAGUGGAGCACAUGAUGGAGCCACGACCCCUCAGCACUGCACCCAAGAUUAGUGACGACACGCCGCUGGAAAUGAUGACAUCGCCUCGAGCCACCUGGACUCUGGUUAGAACCCCUCAAUGGAAUGAAUUGCAGCCACCAUUUAAUGCAAACCACCCUCUGCUCCUCGCUGCAGAUGCAGUACAGUAUUAUCAGUUCCUGCUUGCUGGCCUGGUUCCCCCUGGAAGUCCUGGGCCCAUUACUCGACAUGGGUCUUAUGACAGUUUAGCUUCUGACCAUAGUGGACAGGAAGAUGAAGAAUGGCUUUCCCAGGUUGAAAUUGUAACACACACUGGACCCCAUAGACGUCUGUGGAUGGGUCCACAGUUCCAGUUCAAAACCAUCCAUCCCUCAGGCCAAACCACAGUCAUCUCAUCCAGUUCAUCUGUGUUGCAGUCUCAUGGUCCGAGUGACACGCCACAGCCUCUUUUGGAUUUUGAUACAGAUGAUCUUGAUCUCAACAGUCUCAGGAUCCAGCCAGUCCGCUCUGACCCAGUCAGCAUGCCAGGGUCAUCCCGUCCAGUCUCUGAUCGAAGGGGAGUUUCCACAGUGAUUGAUGCUGCCUCAGGUACCUUUGACCGGAG